GUAAACUGUAAAGUGCCAUGCACAUGCUAGUUAGUGGCUUUAUUCUCCAGGGACCCUGGCACCAUGGUGGCAGAGGAAGAAACUCGGAGAACCGGGAAGAAAUACCAUCUGGCUUUAAACACCAAAAAGCCUCCACUCACACCGGACUUAUUUCUGUAAACAGCAGAAUUAACAUCAUCCUAUAGCAGCGACGUCAGCCCGGAGCGACCUGGAGACUGUCUUUGCCCUGAUUUCCCUGGUCAGGGCUGCACAAAGCACCCCAGGAGCUCCUCAUCCAUCAGCUGUCACUCCCAGAGAAACGUGGACAAGUCACUUAGUAAAUCUGAGUUUAGAUGGAAAGAAAACAGGGCUUGAGACACCCUCUCAGUCCCACCCAGGCUUUGCAAGCACGGAGGGAAGGCUGGAGGUGGUGUCCAGGGACAGCGGGGACAUGCCUAGAAGCCCAGUCAGAGCUGACGCUGGAAGGGUGUUUAGAGAGCAUCUUCUUGUCUUCUUUCCUCCAAAUUAUGGGUGACAAAACAGGCCCAGAAUGGGAUGGUGCCUGCCCAAGGUCACACAGCAAAUUGGUGACAAAAACUGAAAUUAACAUCUAAGUCUCUCGACUCUAAUGCCGCUAUUUUCCACUUCACCAGUCACGUCUUCCUUUGAUAUUUGCUCCAGCAUCGUAGUGUUGCUUCCCAGGAAACACAGACUGGGGAUUUCUCUGCUUCCCCAUGGGCUCUGCAGACGAGAAGCAGAAUGUUUCUUGAGUCCUAUACCUCGCCGGCAUUCAACGCAGGAGGCCAUCGUUCCUUUGUUGUUUUCUUGGGAGAAACAAGAUUUCUGAAAACCACAGGAGCCCAAAUGAAUCAAAGUGAAAUUUUAAAAACAAGAGGGCUAUGCCAUUGAGUUUUCAAAAUCUAGAGGAAUACCCUGUUCCGUUGCAGCCCCCAGAUCUGGCAGAGGUCUCGUGUGGAUGAGGACUUCUGUCACGGGGGCUGCUAGGAAUCGGUGGAGCAGAGAGCACCCUGGGCAUUUGGGCCUAGGGUGGCUGCUGCUGUGCUGUGCAGCCUGGCUUGCCCUCUCUGAGCCUAUUUUCCCAUGUGCAACAUAAGGCAGGGUCGAUGUGACCUCCCGGCUCUGACGUUCUGUGACUUGAUAACCAUUUUCUAAGGAAGGAAAGGGGAUCCAUUGCUCCUAGGCCGCACGGAUGCCUUGUUCAUCAGCUGACACGAGCCUGAGCUGAGAGGCGUCGGCACUGGUGGGUCCUGGGAGUUUCAUGUGAAUGGGGCUUGGAGGGAAACCCUCUCUAUCCACUCUCAAGGGAAGGGGGCAUCUGAGACCACUGUCCCCAGUAACUGCCCCAAGACCCUUAGUCUAAGUUGGCAGGUGACGUCCAAGUGUGGCAAUGACGGAGCACAUGCCCAUGGUUGUGUUUAUACCAACUCACCCAGCACACCCGCGGGCACCCAGGCUCUGCCCUCCAGGUCCCCGAUAACACGUGCACCCACUGGGCUAUGGCAGCUUCUCUCCCCUGAGGGGGUGGGGGACGCUGGGGAGCUGGAAG
rnacentral:lncRNA from 1 species